rnacentral:rRNA from 1 species
UACGUAGGGUGCAAGCGUUGUCCGGAAUUAUUGGGCGUAAAGAGCUCGUAGGCGGUUUGUUGCGUCGGCUGUGAAAACCCGGGGCUCAACCCCGGGCCUGCAGCCGAUACGGGCAGACUAGAGUUCGGCAGGGGAGACUGGAAUUCCUGGUGUAGCGGUGAAAUGCGCAGAUAUCGGGAGGAACACCAGUGGCGAAGGCGGCACUCUGGGCCGGAACUGACGCUGAGGAGCGAAAGCGUGGGGAGCGAACAGG